rnacentral:rRNA from 1 species
AGAGUUUGAUCCUGGCUCAGGAUGAACGCUGGCGACAUGGAUAAGGCAUGCAAGUCGAAUGGCCGCAAGGCCAUGGCGAACGAGGUAGUAACACGUAGGAACGCACCCCUAAGUCGGGCAUAACUCGCCGAAAGGCGAGAUAAUUCUCGAUGGUCUCGUAAGAGUAAAGAUUUAUCGCUUAGGGAGCGGCCUGCGGCGUAUCAGCUAGUUGGUAAGGUAAUGGCUUACCAAGGCUAUGACGCGUAGGGGAGGUGAGAGCCUGACCCCCACCGAUGGGACUGAGACACGGCCCAUACACCUACGGGUGGCUGCAGUCGAGAAUCUUCCGCAAUGGGCGAAAGCCUGACGGAGCGAUGUCGCGUGAUGGAUGCCGUCCCUCGGGACGUAAACAUCUUUUAUGAGGGAGAAAUUUAUGAUAG